rnacentral:rRNA from 1 species
GACGAACCCGUGCGAACGUUGUUCGGAUUCACUGGGCUUAAAAGGGCGCGUAGGCGGGUGAGCAAGUCCGGGGUGAAAUACUUUCCGGCUUAACCGGAAAACUGCCUUGGAUACUGCUCGUCUAGAGGGAGGUAGGGGUCUGUGGAACUUCCGGUGGAGCGGUGAAAUGCGUUGAUAUCGGAAGGAACGCCGGUGGCGAAAGCGACGGACUGGACCUCUUCUGACGCUGAGGCGCGAAAGCUAGGGUAGCGAAC